GGCAGUUCUUGGGGGAUGCACCCCGGGAUUAGGCCCCCUCCUUUCUGGUUCUGGGUGCAUCACCCGAGAACCACA
rfam:Myotis brandtii contig236896, whole genome shotgun sequence.